rnacentral:rRNA from 1 species
AGGAUGAACGCUAGCGGCAGGCUUAACACAUGCAAGUCGAGGGGUAUUGGUUUUCGGACCAAGAGACCGGCGCACGGGUGCGUAACGCGUAUGCAAUCUACCUUUCACAGAGGGAUAGCCCAGAGAAAUUUGGAUUAAUACCUCAUAGUAUAUAGACCUGGCAUCAGGAUUAUAUUAAAAGUCACAACGGUGAAAGAUGAGCAUGCGUCCCAUUAGCUAGUUGGUAUGGUAACGGCAUACCAAGGCUACGAU